GAAAACCAAAUCCAAACCCACAGAUCCACCCGGUUCCGGUUGGAGUUCCAGGUUUGGGUUGUAGGAAGGACUUUGAUUUUUCUGGGGCUUUUUCAGUUUGUUUGUUUUGUUUUUGUUGUUGGUGGUUUUUUGUUUGUAUCUUUUCCGGUUUCUUCACCAAAUCAGUUCCUCAAAUUGACCAAUAGCCACUGUUUUCCUAUUUUUGAUAAGGAUUUGCUCUUCUAAGUGUACUGUGUGUGUGUGUGUGUGUGUGUGUGUGUGAGUGCGCGCAUGGGCAGGGGUAUUACCCAGCAUUCAUGCGACGUGGACAACUUGGGGUUCUUUGGGGAAGCUUCCUCUCUCCUCGAGGGGGCUCCACACCCCACACCCGACUCUCUAUUCUGCUUUUUUUUCUUCAACGAGGAAGAGGAAACUGCAUCCUCGCCGGAUGAUGAGCCCUGUGUUCCCCUCCCACAACGCCCCCAACCUCAAGUGCUUUCUGCCCCUCCCCUCCCUUGGGUGACACAAGUUUUCGGGGAGCUGUGGGGUUCAGCGCGUGGAAGGAGCGUGGACCUUUUCAAGCCCAAUCAAAGCUCGGACAUCCACGGGGAAGGAAGUGACGCAGAAGCACAGAGACAAAGAGACCGUUUCAUUGCUUUUUGCUUUCUGGGUUUUUGUUGUUGUUGGGUGUUUUAUUUUAUUUUAUUCUUCUUCUUUUAUUUUUUUUUUGAGAAUUAUAUUUGUAUCCUAUUUAAUUUUUUUUUUUUUUUGCAAAUCUCCAGCAUCAACCCCGAAAAGUGGGUUUGUACCUGCCAUCCAUGAAGAAGACAAACACCACUGCAGGUCGCGUUCUCUGCAGUUUCGAUUAGUAGCACCGACCCUUGUGGCAAUUUUCAUUUUUUUUCUUUUCCUAAUUCUGGAAGAUUUUCUUAUAGUAGGGAAGGGAGGGGUGGAUUUUAUUUAUUUUAAUAUAUAAGAAUCACUGUAAAAAAAUCACUUUCGUAAAAAAAAAAAACAAAAAAAAAUGCAAUCCCACCCCCCCUCCCAAAAUGAAGCACAUGUAAAUUUUUAUCAAAGAAAAUAAACAAGUGAAUGUG